UACGUAGGGUGCAAGCGUUAAUCGGAAUUACUGGGCGUAAAGCGUGCGCAGGCGGUUUUGUAAGUCUGUCGUGAAAUCCCCGGGCUCAACCUGGGAACUGCAUCUGUGACUGCAUCGCUGGAGUACGGUAGAGGGGGAUGGAAUCGCGUGUAGCGGUGAAAUGCGUAGAUAUGCGGAGGAACACCGAUGGCGAAGGCAAUCCCCUGGACCUGUACUGACGCUCAUGCACGAAAGCGUGGGGAGCAAACGAGG
rnacentral:rRNA from 1 species